AUGACAGUGAGUACAGGUGAUGUAACAUAUGAGGGUAGAACUGACUAUGACAGUGAGUACAGGUGAUGUAACAUAUGAGGGUAGAACUGACUAUGACAGUGAGUACAGGUGAUGUAACAUAUGAGGGUAGAACUGACUAUGACAGUGAGUACAGGUGAUGUAACAUAUGAGGGUAGAACUGACUAUGACAGUGAGUACAGGUGAUGUAACAUAUGAGGGUAGAACUGACUAUGACAGUGAGUACAGGUGAUGUAACAUAUGAGGGUAGAACUGACUAUGACAGUGAGUACAGGUGAUGUAACAUAUGAGGGUAGAACUGACUAUGACAGUGAGUACAGGUGAUGUAACAUAUGAGGGUAGAACUGACUAUGACAGUGAGUACAGGUGAUGUAACAUAUGAGGGUAGAACUGACUAUGACAGUGAGUACAGGUGAUGUAACAUAUGAGGGUAGAACUGACUAUGACAGUGAGUACAGGUGAUGUGACAUAUGAGGGUAGAACUGUAGAACUCACUGUUAACUGUAGCACACACACUUCAGACAGCAUGUGGCUGUGAUCUAUAUGUGGUUUGUCCGCAAUGACAUUUGACCUCUGACAUGGC